GGACACCAGAAGAGCCAGCCCCAGGACUGUCACCUGGCAGCAGGAGGCUGGGCAGUUGGAAGUCCUUAACUAUGAUGAAUGAACAACCGGGUGACCUUCUUCAAUGGGGGCUCAAGCCAGGAAGGGUGGCCCCAGCAAUCUACGGCUGAAGCUGCCACACACUGGCCUGGUCUGGGUGAGCCAAUGGAGCCCCAGGUGGAUUGGUAAGGACAAGGAGCCCAGACUGACUGCAAACUGAGUUCUCACCACUGCUUGUCCUUCUUCAACACCUGACCAGGAGGGUCUGCCCACAGCGGCCCUGAAGGCCCCAACUCCAGGCAGUGAGAUCGAGAGACCAGCUGCAGCUGUGAUUCCUGGGGCUAUCCAUUGUUAUUUCAGAAGUUCCUGGCAGUCUUUCAGGGGGUGCUGUGAUGAAUGAGUACUUUCUUCUUCCCGACUGUCAUCAAAGGCACACACCAUAGAGCCCAGGGGGUGUGUGGCAAGGGGGACUCAGAGCUGGCAGUAACCAGCAGGCUCGCUAUAGUCACAGAGGCAGGAAGUGAGGCACAAGGGUCUUCCGAGUGCACCCAGAAUUGCAGCACCAAGCGAGAACCUGAAAACCCACCUUAUAGUUCAAAAUGACUCUUUCAUACUCUCUGCUCACAACUUGUAGUCAGUGCUUUCUGGUGACAGCAGAGGAGAUGGAAGCUGUGUCCAGAUGCAGAACCUGCCUACUGUCCUGGGUUCGGAUGGAUGGCACACACCCCGCCUGAAUGACCCCAUGGUGGGCACAGUUCAGGGACUGCUUUUGAUGUCAUCUUUAGCUGGUAUUCAACCCAGAGCAUAAGAGUUCCUGUAUCCUGUACGGUUUCUGAUCUGAGGUACUUAUCCCAGGUCUGGGGCUUCCUCAUUGAUCCUGAGGAAACCAUCUCUCAUCACCUAGGCCCACCAACACUGAACCCCUCUCCCACUAUGCUCAGAAUUCUUGGUGAAUAUAGGAAAUUGGAACAAAUAAAAUGUCUAAUAUCUA
rnacentral:lncRNA from 1 species